GCCAGUAUGGUAUAGUGGUUUGAGUAUUCGACCAUAACUCUGGAGAUCAGGGUUCGAUCCCCACUUGGCC